CCUACGGGGUGCAGCAGUGAGGAAUAUUGGUCAAUGGUCGGGAGACUGAACCAGCCAAGCCGCGUGAGGGAGUAAGGUACAGAGUAUCGUAAACCUCUUUUGUCAGGGAACAAAGGCGGGGACGUGUCCCCGGCUGAGGGUAACUGGAGAAAAAGCAUCGGCUAACUCCGUGCCCGCAGCCGCGGUAAUACGGGGGAUGCGAGGGGUAUCCGGAUUUAUUGGGUUUAAAGGGUGCGUAGGCGGUCUGUUAAGUCAGCGGUAAAAACCCGGGGCUCAACCCCGGCCCGCCGUUGAAACUGGGAGUCUCGAGUUGGAGAGAAGUAUGCGGAAUGCGCGGUGUAGCGGUGAAAUGCAUAGAUAUCGCGCAGAACCCCGAUUGCGAAGGCAGCAUGCCGGCUCCACACUGACGCUGAGGCACGAAAGCGUGGGUAUCGAACAGGAUUAGAUACCCUUGUAGUC
rnacentral:rRNA from 1 species